GAGGGUAUAGCUCAGUGGUAGAGCGCGUGCUAGCAUGCACGAAGUCCUGGGUUCAAUCCCUAUUACCUCCU
rfam:Camelus ferus unplaced genomic scaffold scaffold204, whole genome shotgun sequence.